GAUGAACGCUGGCGGCGCGCCUAACACAUGCGAGUCGAACGAUUAAAGCACCUUCGGGUGUGUAUAAAGUGGCGAACGGCUGAGUAACACGUGGGCAACCUGCCCCUCUCAUUGGGAUAGCCACGGGAAACCGUGGAUAAUACCGAAUACUUCGGGACUUCCGCAUGGAAGACUCGAGAAAGCUCCGGCGGAGAGGGAUGGGCCCGCGGCCUGUUAGCUUGUUGGUGGGGUAAUGGCCUACCAAGGCAAUGAUGGGUAGCUGGGUUGAGAGACCGACCAGCCAGAUUGGGACUGAGACACGGCCCAGACUCCUACGGGAGGCAGCAGUGGGGAAUCUUGCACAAUGGGCGAAAGCCUGAUGCAGCGACGCCGCGUGCGGGAUGAAGGCCUUCGGGUUGUAAACCGCUUUCAGCAGGGACGAGGCGAAAGUGACGGUACCUGCAGAAGAAGCCCCGGCUAACUACGUG
rnacentral:rRNA from 1 species